UACGUAGGGGGCAAGCGUUGUCCGGAAUCAUUGGGCGUAAAGAGCGUGUAGGCGGCCAGAAAAGUCCGCUGUGAAAACUCGAGGCUCAACUUCGAGCUGUCGGUGGAAACUUUCUGGCUAGAGUCCGGAAGAGGAGAAUGGAAUUCCUGGUGUAGCGGUGAAAUGCGCAGAUAUCAGGAAGAACACCCCGUGGCGAAGGCGGUUCUCUGGGACGGUACUGACGCUGAGACGCGAAAGCGGUGGGAGCGAACGG
rnacentral:rRNA from 1 species